rnacentral:rRNA from 1 species
AAUCAACGCUGGCGGCGUGCCUCGGACAUGCAAGUCGAACGAUUAAGGCUCUCUUCGGAGAGUGUAUAGAGUGGCGCACGGGUGAGUAACACGUAAGUAAUCUACCUUCGAGUGGGGAAUAACGUCCGGAGACGGACGCUAAUACCGCAUAAUGCAGCGGCAUCGCAAGAUGACAGUUGUUAAAGAUUUAUCGCUUGAAGAGGAGCUUGCGGCAGAUUAGCUAGUUGGUAAGGUAAUGGCUUACCAAGGCUACGAUCUGUAACCGGUCUAAGAGGACGGUCGGUCACACUGACACUGAAUAACGGGUCAGACUCCUACGGGAGGCAGCAGUCGGGAAUUUUGGGCAAUGGGCGAAAGCCUGACCCAGCAACGCCGCGUGAAGGAUGAAGUAUUUCGGUAUGUAAACUUCGAAAGAAUAGGAAGAAUAAAUGACGGUACUAUUUAUAAGGUCCGGCUAACUACGUGCCAGCAGCCGCCGUAA